GCAGUAGCCGCGGUAAUACGUAGGUGGCAAGCGUUGUCCGGAAUUAUUGGGCGUAAAGGGCUCGCAGGCGGUUUCUUAAGUCUGAUGUGAAAGCCCCCGGCUCAACCGGGGAGGGUCAUUGGAAACUGGGAAACUUGAGUGCAGAAGAGGAGAGUGGAAUUCCACGUGUAGCGGUGAAAUGCGUAGAGAUGUGGAGGAACACCAGUGGCGAAGGCGACUCUCUGGUCUGUAACUGACGCUGAGGAGCGAAAGCGUGGGGAGCGAACAGGAUUAGAGACCCGCGUAGUCCCUGUCUCUUAUAC
rnacentral:rRNA from 1 species